AAGAAACAACAGGCUGAACUUCGGUUUAGGAAUCAGUCCAAAACAGCAGGGAACGCCCUCGUCUGUCAGUGACGUCAUUUUAAAGCACACAUACAAUCAGUAAUAUGGCAGGUGCAUUGAGCAGGAGGGGUUGCAUAAAGAUCCGAGGUCCUCAACUAAGAGAACUACUGGAUUCAAAAUGCAACAUACUGUUCGAUUGCGAUGGGGUCAUCUGGGAAGGAGAAAAAGCCAUCCCCGGUGCUAUAGAGGUGGUAAGCUUACUGAAAAACCAAGGGAAAAAUGUGUUCUUCGUUACCAACAAUUGCACCAGGCCUAGGGACAGCUACAUGCAGAAGUUUACGAGGUUGGGUUUUACUGACGUACAGAAGAGGGAUAUUUUUAGCUCUGCAUACUGCUCUGCAGUUUACCUGAGGGAUUUUGCCAACCUGCAAGGCAAGGUGUUCGUUAUCGGGGGAGACGGGGUUUAUAAGGAGCUCAGGGAAGCCGGGGUGCCCUUUGUGGAAAGUGAGCCGGAGACCCCUGGUAUGACGAUAUCCGACUGCCCGCUCCAUUCUGAUGUCAAGGCGGUUCUGGUUGCAUACGAUGAAGAUUUUAAUUUUCUGAAGCUAGCUAAAGCAUGCUGCUACUUGCGGGACUCAGAAUGUCUGUUUAUUGCUUCCGAUCCAGACCCCUGGCACCCAGUUAGAGGAGGAAGAGUUACCCCUGGUUCUGGAAGUCUCACUGCUGCCUUGGAAACUGCCACAAACAGAAAGGCCACUGUUAUGGGGAAGCCGAGCAGGUUCAUGUUUGAGUGCAUCACCAGUCAGUGUGGUGCGGACGCCGCUCAGUCUCUCAUGGUCGGCGACCGCCUGGAAACAGACAUCCUGUUUGGGGCAAACUGUGGCCUUUCCACUGUGCUCACCCUGACCGGGGUGUCCACGAUUGAGGAAGCCCAGGCUAACCUGGAAAGUGACAGUCCAGCGAAGCAGAAUGCGGUACCAGAUUAUGUUGUGGACAGCAUUGGUGACUUUUUACUCGCACUGAAAACCUAAACUAAAUAUUACACUUCACUAUUCUACCAUUCCAACAACCAAAUCUAUAAUACAUGGAAACCCAGCCUUAUACAACAGUUACAUUAUGUCACUUUCUCUCAACACUGUUUUUGUUUUUUUAACCUCAGUAAUUCCUUUCACCCUCCUAAUUGAGAGCUGUUCAGACAGGUUAGACCCUAAACCGGAUGCUGUAGUGGUUCAGCAUGCUGUACGUAAGUAUCUAGCCACCAGCGUUGGUAUUUAAAAACAUGAUUCCUUUUAGUCUUAGAAAUAGAAAAGUGCUAGUGGCAGAUUAUGGGUUUGGGACCAUCAGUUCAGUCAGGGCCGUGAUUUCACACUCGCCGGUAACAGUAUCCAAGGAGCCAUGUUGAUUUAUUGUACAGGAAAGCAGGUUAAAUAUUAUAAUGUAUGACAAUUUGUGACGCUUUACCCGAUAGGUUGGAUACAGUUAUUUGAAUUGAAUUAAACCCUUGCUUGUAACCCUUAAUUGCCUCCCGGUUCUGAAGUGAACUCCCUUAAGAGGAUAUUCUGCACAAUCCUUCAUGAAAAAGUAAACAUUAUCCGGCAAAACUGUCAGUUAUUGUUGGACAGCUCUGGUUUAAUUGAACCAAUUUUAAACUGUUCAAUAGUGAUGCAACUUGAUUUGGACAUUCUUUAGGUUUUUGAGAGUAUCAGAAUCUAGAGAUUCCAUCUUUCUUUAUGUACUUGCAUGUUAACAUCUAUCUAGAGAACAGCUUGUCCAAUUGGGAUCAAACUGCCACACUUACAUUUUUGCAAGUACACAUGGCUGAUGGAGGUAGGUCAUGGUGAGCUAUAUUUUUUCAUGAUUCUGAUAACUAUUAAUUUCAUAUUUAAAACUAUGAUGAGGAAUUAAUGUUGCAAACAUACUUUACUUCUUUAUUUAGGUAUUAUUAUUUGGCUCACAGAGGUAGUUACUCGUUGUAGGGAUACCACCCAACAUCUCCCUACAGCUAAAACCACCUUCCAAAUGAUCCUAAGGCCAAGCUGUUGUAGAAUGUGCAAAAAAAAAAAGGAACGUGUUUGUGGGGAAACUGCAGCUUUGUUAAUUUUAUAGAAAAAAUAUUGUUACCAUAACAGCAAAGAAGGGAUUGGUUGCUGUAUACAGACAAGCAUGUGUAUAGUGAAGGAAGCAACCAUGCACACAUCCUGUAGCACCUUCCUUUGUAAUCGUCAGACACCUGGGACCAUACCUGUCCGCAUUGUGGAGUAUAUACCAGCACUCCAUUAUGCAUUACAUUUAUAUUCCAUGUUAGACACCUGUCUCCUGGUUUUCUACAGAGGUCAGCUGUUCUGUUCUAAUUCGGACACCUGUUCUAAAACCACUGCUACUGAUGAAUCGCUUCACAGGGACCCUGUCAGAAAGUGAACUCUUUCAGUGAACUACAACUGUUAUUUCAGACAGACAGAAGUAAAUAAAUGAAUAUGUUUUAAAACGUUGUAAUCUAACAGUGAUAAUGGCAUUGCUGUGGCGAGUUCCUUGGUAACCUGCCACAGCAAUAUCAUUAUCGCUCUCUUUAUUUUAUAACAGAUGUCAUCUUGUGCAGUUUGGAUGAGUAGACCGCAAAGAUGAGCUUAAGCAGUUAUACAUAUUGGAGAUGACAUCCUUGCACACAAUGUAUUAUAUAGUGCAAAUCCUGAGUGGGUACCUACUUUACAUUAUCUCCAAAUGUUUUUACAUCAGAGGGCCUGGUUACAUUCAUGUCCUAGACCCUGUUAGUUGAGCUGUAUUUGAGGUUUGAAAACGCUAUUUUGAACAUUUGUACUGUAAAAGACUAAACAUCUUGGUCAAGUAAUAUGCAUUAUUUUCGAUUACCUCUACACAAAUUGUAAGGCAUUGAUCCUAGAUAAAUUACAGGAAUUCUCACAGCAGUAUUCAUUCUUUUAAACCCCUAAAACACAGAUAAUAGCAGGGAAUGGUGUUGCUUUUACCCUGGCUGGGUGUCAAAAAUAAAUAAAUAAAUUGCAUAUACAGAAUGUGAAGAAGAAAAUAAAUAUAUAUCUCUGAAAACAAACUUCAUGUCUGAUCCUAGACACAAAAAAAUCAACUGCGUUUGUAACUAAUCAUUUUAUUUUGUAAGUUUUGCUUGUUGGGGUGGGGGGGGGGAGAGAAUUAUCUUUUGAUAUAUGAAAAACAAUCCUGUUUUUUCAUAUUUUAUACUGAUUUUUAUCAUAAAACUCUUCUUACUGUAAUGGAGUUGUAGGAGAGCUUUUGUGACAUUACCUCAAAUGUUUGUUUUUGAAGUGGUUUGGUAGUUUAAUGAAUGGAAGAGAAUCUUUAGGUUUUAAAGAUACAUAUAUAUUAAGAUUUGAUAUUAGCAGUGCAUCACAAAGCAACAUUUGAAGAAAUUAUAGAGUCUGAUAUUGUGAUACAGCCACCUGAAAUUUAUUUGAACCAAUUUGUAAGACAGAAAUUAUGUCCCCUUAAGAUAAGCUAUACUGUUGAACUAUUCUUUUUUAACUACAUAUUCUAAAACACCCUGUGUAGUGUGCUGUAAGAUACAAGCUGAUUGUCACCCGACUGAUCCACUGGGGUGUAUCGUACAGUACCCUAUACAAUAUUCUAUAUGUAUGUGACAUCUUCAGACUUUUUGUUCAAAAUUGCAAGCAAAAAAAAAAAUGUAUUUGGUGGAAAAUGUGUACAAAUUGCUUGAUGCAAGUUUCUUCCACAGUUCCAUGAACACUGCUUUGUGUUUUGUGGUCUAGUAUUCCCUUUUAUUAAAAUUUAAGAAAGUUGUUUUAAUUAAAGUAAUAAUACACCAUUGGGAAGGUUAACACUGCAGUAUUAAAACCUUGAGUAAAAAACAAAAUUCAGCUUGGAUUACAACAGCUUUUCCUGACACCUCAGUCUUGCCUCGAGUGUAAAUGGAGUGGUGACUGUUCCGUGUUCAUGUAUUUCAUGCCCUUCAGUUGUACUUAGACUCCUAGUUGCCAGGAAAUGCCACACCUUUGAAUGUGUUUAGUAUGAAAGUCCUCACCAAGCACUGUACUGCCUGCUGCAACAUUGUUUUUGUAUCAAUAUUGCUGAACAUUACAGAUAUUUAUUUGUGAUGUCAUUUUGGCCUGUGAUGUCAUGGAGUGUUAAUUUGCAAAGUAUAAUUGAAUGUUUUGUAUCUGGAAAAGCGGUCUGGUCUUUUUUUCUUUUUUCUCCAGUUCAGGCUGUGUGCAGUAUGCUGGUAUGGUUUGUUUGGAUAAAACAUAAAGAAUUAGAAGCACAUGUGGUAAGGAGCACACACUUACUUUUUUUUUUUUUUUGUGUGUCACGUAACUGAUUCGAUUGUUAUGUAGCUAGCAUCCGUGGGAGCUAUUCUGUCCUAUCUGUAUGCUCCAUCCACACAAUGGAAGUCAGGUCUGGUCAGCAUAGCAAGACAGCAGAGCAGACAGACGUUCUUUUUUUUAUUAUAAGUCAUCUAUGGCAAAUAAACUGUUAACUUGUAGUAGAGGGCUGAUAAUAUGUGCUUGGUUGGCAGGUGUUUACUUAUCCCAGAAAAUGUACUGAUUCCCACCAGCAAGUAAUAACAAUUUACAUUUAAACUCCAUACAGUCAUCAGAUUAAGAAUCCUAAUAUAUCUGCCAAAUUCAACAGAUGGAAGGUGGGUGUGUCUGCUGUGCUGUGCAGAGAUAGACCUGCCUAAGAGAAAUGCAUUCCGGGCACACUGCAUCAGCCAAGAUAACCCAAUCAAUAUAUUAAAGUAUACUGGCAGACUUAGCAAGGCUUGUGAAUAAAGACUAGACCUCCCUGCUGAAGAUCUCUUGAUUAUUUUGUGUUUGUUUUAUUGUAAUGAUGUUCCCAGUUUUUACACUUUGAAUGCAACACCAUGGCUUGUGUGUUUUCAUUUAGGGGGAUACAAAAAUUGAAAUAAACAAGCUUGUCCAUAAAUAGUUUACAAAAACACCGGAGGUUUCAUUCCACACUAUAAUACGUGCUGCAUAAACUGCGUGAAAAUUCUGUGGAAGCUUUCUUCUGCCGAUAGGCUAUAUGGAAAACCCAAACGUUCUAGAAAAUCUGCGUCUACAUUCUGCUGUGCUUGCAGGUUACGCCUGCAUUUCAAAAGCACAGCAGUCUUUAUAUAAAAAGACGCAAUUGCAAGAAGCCUGCAUGCUUACCCUGACAUUUUACUUUCAAACAAAAAAGCACUGUCUGUGUUAAGUUACUCUUAAAUGCACAGGUCAAGUUUAUAGGUUUUGUAAAGAGCAAAGGGAUGAUACAUUUCAAGGUUUUAUCGUGUACUGGGGACAUUUUACGAAGCGUACGAAUAUUUGUGAAUACAGUAGAAUAGGUCUGGGAUUCCAUUUGCAGAAUAACGAUGAAUCAAUUUACCGAAAGUGUGUUCUGCAGUAAAUACAGUAUUGCUGCAGUUUGUGGCCAGUCCUGUGGUUAACCCUGUGUGUUCCAGAGCACCCCUUCAGAUGUCUUAUGACAUUCCAGUUACGUUGUAAGAACCAGUGUUCCAGAACAGCUGACCGUUUAAUUUAAUCUAUUUAUUGCUACUGAGGAACAGGCCAAGAACAAGGAAACAAUUACUUGAAUUUCGGAAACCUUUUUUUGUUUGUUUGUUUGUUUUGUUUUUAAACCUGUGCCAAUAUGGGUUUUACCUUUUUAAAUAUAUUAAUAACAAUGACAAUAAUAACAGUCCCAGCGCUGGAAGGACCAACUGUGAUUAACGAAAAACUGGCUGCCGGGUCACACCUUGUUGAUGAGACAGGAAAUGUAAAAGGAAGCAUUAACAGCAAAGAGCCUGCUCCCAUGGAGAAGCCAAACAUUGAGGAUAGAAGUUCUGAAUAUGUUGUCCAGUUCUUCAAUGAUGUCGAUGGACACAAAUCUCAAAGAAAGAAUAAACAACUAACUAAGAGAGCAGCAAGAGUAGAAUAUUGGUUUAUUAAUUCAGUGGACCAGUACGAUUAGAUUGUUGUAUUGAAAAUUUGGGUAUAUUUUAUAUUUAAAAAUAAACAUGACAUGUUACAUUAA